GUCUUGGACUCACUAUGUAGCCCAGGCUGGCCUCAAACUCGCAGUGAAUUCCCCUGCCUCAGCUUCCUGAGUGCUGGGAUAACAGUCGUGCACCACCACGCCCAGCCUCAUUUACUUAUUUUUAAUAAAGUCUUUGAGGCAGUAACUGCCAUAAAGAAAGAAACUUAACAUAUUCCAGAACCAGGUAUGUGUACUGUCCUACAAUACCAGCAUCCAUUUAUUUUUUAAAAAGCCUACCAAUCACUUUUGUAUCAAAUUUGCCAACUGAAUUAUUUUCCUCUUGAUAUACUCCUCUGCUCUGAUGAAUGUGAUCAUUAUGUAUAUCUAAAAUGUACUAAUAGGGCCAGGGAUUUGGCUCAGGGGUGCCGCCACCUGCCUUGCAAACACGAGGUCCCGAGUUAGAUCCCCAGUACCAAAAAAAAAAAAGAAUAAAAUGUACUAAUAAAGUUAAUUUUAAAAAUACUCCCCUGCAUAAAAAUAUCAAAAUAUAAGGGAGAGGAUUUAGCCAAUUGAGCAAACACCUAACAAUGAAUAAAUUAUUAGUAUGUACUGUACUCUGAAUGCUGCCUUCUAAAUAUUGUAGCUUUUUUGUUGUAUAGCAGACAUAAAUGUUACUUAAGUCACAGGAAAAUGCUGUAUUCAGUUUGCUUAAAAAUGUAAUUACCUGGCAGAUGAGUAGAACUGGCUUCUGAAAUUCAGCUUGACAUAUUGAACAAAUAUCAUCCACAUCUGAACACUGUCUCUUGCUGGCAGCUACUCCAUAACUCUAUGAAGUGUUGAGUAAUCAAUCUACCACUGAGUCCAGCCCACAGAGCAUUCUCUUCAGGGCAUGAUGAAAGAAGGCACCAAUAAAAUAAGGCAUUUUAAGCCCAUGAAGAGGAAUUUCAGAAUGAAGUCUGUAAUUCCAACAAUCCAAAGUACUUCCCAGAAGUUCAAAUGAUCCAAUGUAGGAUUCAAGAAAAUUAAGCUAUCGAGAGAAAAACACCAAAAUUUACAAGAGCAAUAUAUAAAGUACUGGAGAUUGAGUCCUGGGCCUUCACAGAACAUCCAGGUUUUUUUUCUUUUCUUUUCUUGAGACGGGGUCUUGCUAAGUUCUGGAGGCUGGGCUCAAACCUGCAAUCCUGCCUCAGUCUCCCAAAGUGCUAGGAUCACAGGUGUGUGCCACCAAGCCUAGGUUCAGAGAUCAUUCUUGCUUUUCUUACCCAUCUGCCCAAUCUCAUUUGAGUCUACUGGCUCCGCCUAUAUUUUCUAUCCUAGAUUUGUCUGUAUCCCCAAUUCCACUGAAAUAAGGAUUUAUUAUCUGAUUAAAGCUGAAAAUUCAGGACAGUACCACCCCUGACCUGAAAACUUGUC